GCAGUCGUGGCCGAGUGGUUAAGGCGUCUGACUUGAAAUCAGAUUCCCUCUGGGAAGCGUAGGUUCGAGUCCUGCCGACUGCG
rnacentral:tRNA from 1 species